rnacentral:rRNA from 1 species
UACGGGGGGGAGCAAGCGUUGUUCGGAUUUACUGGCGGUAAAGGGCGCGUAGGCGGUCAGCACAAGUCAGUUGUGAAAUCUCCGGGCUUAACUCGGAAAGGUCAACUGAUACUGUGCGACUAGAGUGCAGAAGGGGCAACUGGAAUUCUCGGUGUAGCGGUGAAAUGCGUAGAUAUCGAGAGGAACACCUGCGGCGAAGGCGGGUUGCUGGGCUGACACUGACGCUGAUGCGCGAAAGCCAGGGGAGCGAACGGG